GAGAGAGGCUCGCUAGCAAUGAAGACUGCUAAUCUUCCCCCCUUUGGUUAAACCCCAAAGCUCCCUCG
rnacentral:tRNA from 1 species